CAGUGCCUGCACUCUAUUUCCUUCCUAGGCACCUCCCUUUGGGCAGUGCUGGUCGUGUUUGGUCACCCAUGAGAUCCAGGGACCUGCCUUUGCCUCCUGCUCGAAGGAAGGGACCUGGGUCCUUCUGAGGGAGCCAGACCUCUGGCCCAGAAAGCCAGACAUUGUGUGGAAGGAGCGUUCCUGGCCCAGGGUCUUCCUGUGUAUCCUUGCCCCAUCGAUCAAGUGCUGUGGGAGCUGUUUUAAGGUGAAAACCUAGAUGCACAGCACUUCCUUGUCCUCAUGAAAGGAGCAGAGGUCUUCACAGGCCUCUGGGCUGCCCCGAGAACCUCUCUAUUCCAGGCCCCUCUGCAGACCCCUCCAGACGCCAGAACUCCAGGCAGUGGCCUGAGCUGUCACUCCUUGCUCUGAGACCCCUACCUCUGCCAUGAGACC
rnacentral:lncRNA from 1 species